GGGGAAUUUUCCGCAAUGGGCGAAAGCCUGACGGAGCAAUACCGCGUGAGGGAUGACGGCCUAUGGGUUGUAAACCUCUUUUCUUAAGGAAGAAGAUCUGACGGUACUUAAGGAAUCAGCAUCGGCUAACUCCGUGCCAGCAGCCGCGGUAAUACGGAGGAUGCAAGCGUUAUCCGGAAUUAUUGGGCGUAAAGCGUCCGCAGGUGGCCUUUCAAGUCUGCUGUCAAAGACCAGAGCUCAACUCUGGGCCGGCGGUGGAAACUGGGAGGCUAGAGUACGGUAGGGGUAGAGGGAAUUCCCAGUGUAGCGGUGAAAUGCGUAGAGAUUGGGAAGAACACCAGUGGCGAAGGCGCUCUACUGGACCGAAACUGACACUCAGGGACGAAAGCUAGGGGAGCGAAAGGGAUUAGAUACCCCUGUAGUC
rnacentral:rRNA from 1 species